AUGUGCUGGUGUGAAUCUGCAUCAGGGAACAGGAGCAAUAUCCUUGAUGCCUCCCGUGCUGUGAGUGAGCGUCGAAAAGAUUAUAAACUACUGAGAACUUCGAUGAAUGCCCAGUCAGCAUGGUACCUCCAUGUGGGUGACACCACGGAGAUUACCUGCAGUGUGAAUCUGGACAUUUACAACAUCAGCAACAAGAUGAACCUGCAGCUGAUCUGGACUAAGAUGGGGCCUGAAGAGAACAGCACGAAGGUUGUCUCAAGCCAGCUAGCAUCUACAGGCAUUUCCUACACACUGGGUCCUGUUACCCUCGAACAUCAGGGAGUUUACACAUGUGUUGAUGAGAGUUUGCCUGUUCUUGGUAAUCUCUGGCAUAAGAUCAUCUGGUUUGACAGUCACAGCGGAGAAAUCGAAGAAUGUAGGUCACUGAACUUGUCUUCCAACCGCCUCCUGACCUGCAAAGUUGAUACGGGGUUGCCCUCCUCUCACAAGCUGUACUGGUGAGUCUGAAAAGGGGGAGAGGAGCAAUGCUCUCAACAUCACCAACAAUGCGACUCCAGUGGUCCUGGAGGCUCCAACGCUUCCUGUAUUGGAGGGUGAGGAUGUGACAUUCCGCUGUUUAUAUAGAAACCAAACCACCAAAGAAAUCACCUCCAACUUUGACGCCAGCUUCUACAAGGACUUUAGUCCCAUCUAAGCGUGACUCUGAAAGCCGUGACCAAGGCUGAUCAAGGUUUCUACAUAUGCCACCACCCGAUAGCAGGACGGACUAAUGACCUCUAGAUUACUGUUAAAAG
rnacentral:lncRNA from 1 species